UAGUUACUCACUGCAAACUGCACCAAG
rnacentral:piRNA from 1 species